ACGUCCGACAGGUGUUGCAACAUUUGAGAGAUCAUGGACUUUAUGCAAAAUUGGAGAAAUGUGUGUUCGACCUGUCUGAAGUAAACUUUUUGGGCUAUCACAUCUCCCCUCAAGGAUUAACUAUGGACCUUGCCAAGGGUCAAGACGAACGGGAUACAGAAGAAAUCGUAAGACGGGGGGGAAGUACCAUGUCAUGGGACCAAUUCCAAGAGCUGAGUUUGCAAGCUCUUGAAUCGGAGCCAUAACAAAUUACACUCCUCUACAUCUUGCACGGAACACCUGGCAGAGAAGCCUGGGAAACUCGGGAGAGUAACCAAAACAAUUUUAAUGAGUAACUGUUUUGUAGUGAUGAUAAUUACGUGUGAUGUGACGUUGAAACAAAGGUGAUAAAGGUGAUUGUAUGUAAACAUGAUGCCAUUCUCGACUUUGUUCAUGUCGAGUGUUCUUCAAUAAAGAUCCGGUUUGAUAACAGCUACCAGUGGUCUGUCUUCAUGCCGGUCGUUUGAUGUGAGCACGACAGUUAAUAUUAACUCUAGUUAAUAUUUUAAUUUUAGUUAUUUUUAUGACUAGACAAUUUGAUGCCCAGAACAUGUCUAUUCUGGACCAUCCCUGAUGUCUAUUUGAAUAGAAUGUACAAUCACUUUCUUUCGGAUAGUGUAACCUCCAGGCAUCUGGUAAAUUAAACACUUGCUGUAUAUUUAUGCAAUUUUUGGGUAAAUUUCCUCCAGUAACCUUUCUCUUUUUCUUCCCUUCAUUAAAUUUAUCUAUUUCAGGGUCCAACACCCCAUUGAAGUCAUCCAAAAUAAUUAAGUUUUCAAAUUCCUUUUCCAUAAUUAAAUCCUUUAAUUUUUUUUAACAAAUUGAGUUUUAGGGUCAUUUGGUGCAUAAAUGUUGCAGAUCAGAAUUUUUUUCUAUAUAAACAAAAAUUCCUAGUAUUCUCUCUUCAUUGUCUUUAAAAGCCAUUUCUGCUGGGAUCUUCUCUUUGACAUAUGUCACUACCCCUCUUUCUUUUUUUUUGAUUGAUGGGAAAUAAAAUUCUUUACCUGUAUGUUUCUGUGUUAAGUGUGCCACAUCUUUUUGUGAUAUACAGUAGAGUCUCACUUAUCCAACAUUCACUUAUCCAACGUUCUGGAUUAUCCAACGCAUUUUUGUAGUCAAUGUUUUCAAUGUAUCAUGAUAUUUUGGUGCUAAAUUCGUAAAUACAGUUAUAACUACAUAGCAUUAAUGUGUAAUGAACUACUUUUUCUGUCAAAUUUGUUGUAUAACAUGAUGUUUUGGUGCUUAAUUUGUAAAAUCAUAACCUAUUUUGAUGUUUAAUAGUUUUCUUAAUAUCUCCUUAUUAUCCAACAUAUUCGCUUAUCCAACGUUCUGCCAGCCCGUUUAUGUUGGAUCAGUGAGAUGCUGCUGUAGAACUAUAGUUUGAGGAAACAAUUGUUUUCUCAGAUUGAAUGUAACAGUAAACUGUAGUUUACUACUAAUUUGGAGGCACAAGAGGCAUUAGCAUCACAAGAUUGAUACAUACAUUGAUGCAGUAAAUGAACUAACUCCCAGAAUUAGUCUGAAAUGGUCCUGAUCUAUCUUGACUUUGUUCUGGGCAAGAAAAAAAAAACUUUAUUUCUCUGAACUGUAUCCCUUCCAAUCAUAAUGAAAUAAGUUUUUGUUCUUCCCAACAUGAAGUGGCACAAGUUAAAAGGCUAUUGGAAGGUGGAGCUGGAGGAUAACUCAGGAGAGAGAAGCAAUGUUGGUUGUAAGAGAUGGUGCUGAGCCAAAUAAUUCAAUGAGCUGACUUUACAUAAGGCAACUUCACAAACAGAAGACCACAAAGUCCUCAUUUUUAUCUCCAUUGAAAAUUCAGUGGUAGGUGGGAUAGAAUAAAAUAUGAUGAAUAAUUGUACUUUGUGGCAAAUAUGCAUCUUGCUACAUUGGCUAUUUAAAGCUUUAGUAUAGAGGAUUCCAUUCAUUAUCAAUGCACAUGCCUACUGCCACACCAAGAACCAAGGUCAAUUGCUGGUUUAAUAACAUUUGUUGCACAUAGCUAUAAUGUGCUUUUUUCUCUUUCAGAGGCAAGUGGUAAUUUCACUUAUAAAGGCUUAGAACACAGGAAAUUAAAACUAACAAAAGCUGGCAAAAGGAAGCUUGUUACUUUGGCAGGAUGGCCUACUUUAUACAGAGGUUUCCUUUAUUUGUGAAUAAUUCAGAUGUCGAGUCAUUUCGCUGGAAUUGUUUCCAGAAAAUUGCUACAAUUUCUCUCCCCUUCUUAUACCGAUUGGGCAUCAUACUUCAAUGCACUACUUUGACUUUAUUGCAUUCUGGAAUGACUGCAAAAAUGGCAAAUCUUGGAGCAUUCAUGCACUCCUAAUCAAUGUUAACUAGCAAAAGAGGAAUAACAUUCUCAUUUACUGCGGUAAUCAGGACUAGAGGCAAGAGGACUGUAAACAAAUGGGUUUAUUAUAUGGAGUGUGUAUGUAUGUAUAUAUAUAGGCCCAAAACAGUCUCAGGAAGAACUGAUCUCCCCGCAGAUUUCGAAUCAAGUGAUUUGAAUCUUGCUUUGCUGGAGUUUCUUGGCCUUAAAGCAAUGGUAGCAGUAUGCUACCAGUGUGAAUCAAUGACCUGAAAUCACAAUGAUAUAUUCUAAUGUUUUCUGUUUUGCAAGCUUCCCAGUUUUGGGAAAGGAUGAGGUAUAAAUGAAGGGAUGGUGGAAUAAAGAGAGUGAUAGAGCACUGAAUUCAGUUUUUAAUCCCAACUAAUUAUAUAUUAGACCCAUAUAAUCAAUGUGAUUUACCUAUGUAUUGACUUGCCACCUCAUCACAUUGAGAGGGGAAAAAAUGGGUGACCGUCCCUGUAAGAGUAGAGAAUCACCCCUCUUAUAUCCUAAGCAGUCCCUCCCCAUCACACUAACACGUGGAAAUUUAAGAGCUGGCAAUACAUUCAUCUUACAUUCAUCACAAGGUCAGCGUUAUUUUUUUGUUUUUAAUCAGGAGAAGCAACCAUAUCCAAAAACCAAUAGAUCCCUUGCCCUGCCCAAAGCCCUUUUCAUUAAACAACACUGACACCAGUUUAAAACCAUUUCUUUUCAUUGGAUCCUAUUGUUCUGCACAAAACCCCUAUAGGAUAAAAUACGCAGUGAUCCAGGUAUAAACAUUGCUUUCCAUGUGAUCCUAUGGUUUUCCAUCAAAGAGUCUGUUGACAGCUGACAAUGAAACAGGACAGGAAACUUUUGAUUGUUCCCAUCACACCUAUUUUUCAGUUGUAAACAUGGGAGUAAAGUGCAAUAAGAGGUAGCUCUGAACAUGAUUGCUGUCCCAUGUGCAGAGUUCCUUCCUUUCAGGACAUUUCAGCCUCUUUUCAACCCUGGAACAUGUGAUGUGCUCAUUGCCUCUCCAUGCUUGAAAAGAGGGUAAAGUGUCCUACCAGGGGGAAAUUUAUCGAUGUGAUGAGGUUGAUUGCUGUAGUUCUCUCCUUUCAGGAUACUUCUGAGUCUUUUCAACCAGAGAGGACAAUGCAUGACUGUCAGGAUGCAAAAAGAUCAGCAUUCUCCAAACUGACCUUUUCACAUCUGACCAAAGCAAGGGGGGGGGGGGGAAAGAACCAGAUGAGGAAGACCAUUUGGUUAGGAAGACUGAUUUAUGACCUGCUCUGGUUUUCAAAAGUGGGAGAGGACAGUUGACGGGGAGGUGUAAAUGGGGAAGAAGAAAUGUGAGAGGGGGAGGGAAGAAGCAAAUUGAUAUACUGGGGGAUUAGCAGAAGAGGGGCAAUAUAAGCUUUGUGAUCAUCUUGGCAAGGCGGAUUCAGUAAAGUUUCCAUGACACCAGCUGUUUGAGCCUACCUUUGUGUCCUACACCUUCCAAGGACUGACAGUAAGCUUAUACUCCCUUUUUCCCUGCUCAUCCCUUGAGGAAAGUCCUUGUCGGUGAGAGCAUGAACUCAGACGGAGGAGACAACCUGAUAGAAUUCCUCCUCCUUGAGGAACACCAGGCAAACCCGUGAGGUGCAGACGAGUUGGAAGAGAAAAGGAACCCGUCGCCUGCAUUGAGCGAAGGGGGGGCAGACCCCUCAGACCUGUCGUGGAAGCCACUGACCUCCACCCAGUUACCCACUGGCAGGGGAGUGACGGAGAGACGGAAGAUCCAGAUGAGGGGGGGUGAUUUUCAGCGAGACGGAGAGGAGGCCCCGGAGACAAGAAGGAUGGAGAGGAGAUUAGAUGCGAUGGAGAAAAUGUUAGAAGCAUUUUCUCGUCAGAUGGAUCUGAUGCAGCAGCAGGUAGCUGCGUCCUGGAUGGCAACAGUCGAGCAAUGAGAGCAAAGGAGAGGGCCGCCCAUGAGAGGCACUGGGCCCCGUCCCUUUGUCAGAGAGGGCCUACUGGACUAUGAAGAUGACAUGCCUUGGCAGGGGACAUCGGCUUUCCCCACAGGCCUGUUGGGAAGGGGCCAAAUGCCGGGUAAGGGAGAAUUUUGGGUGAAGUUCAACAGGGACCCCAUUUCAUGGAGAAUUUUGGGUGUAGUUCAACGGGGACCCUAUUUCAUGGAGGAUUUUGGGGACCAAUUCCCUUCAGAAAGUGCAAAAAUCCACAUGGUGGGGGCGAACCUGAAAGAAGCAGCCGCAGACUGGCUAAUGCAGAUGUAUGAUACCGAUGACUGGGAACUGGCCUGCUUGGAGAAUUUCCUGAGAGUCCUCUGUGAGAGAUUUGAAGACCCUUUGGCAGAGGACAGGGUGAAGGCUCAGCUCAAAAGGAUAUACCAGGGAGGAAAGACUGUCAGAAUACGCCCUGGAAUUCAAAGCAACAGCGGGGAAGAUUAGAGACUGGUCAGAAACCACCAAACUGGAAUAUUUCAGGGCUUGUUUAUGCUCUGAGGUGCUUGAGUGGGCACUACACUGAGGAAAUCCGAGAGACUUGGAGGACUGGAUUCUUCUGGCGGGGUGCAUGGAGGUGGACCAACAGCAAAUACCUUGCCGUCCAAGGGAGAGCAGCAGAUUCAAACCCCCAACAACAGCGACACGGUGCUUCUCUCCUCGUCGCGGAAGGUCGACCAGCCGGGAGAGGAGAGCAGGGCGGGGUGCCUGUUUCUCUUGCGGCUGCGAGGGGCAGUGAGCGGCAGAGUGUCCAAAAAGGACAGAUACAAAGACAAAAGGAGAGAGGUUUCACAGCCAGAAGCCGCCCCUCCCGACAUACAAACCAGCAAAAGGGAAAGCUGCCAUGGCAACUGAAACAGCUUUAGUCCCAGGGCAGCUUCUAGCGGAGGAGAUGGAGGAAGAGGAGGACCUGGAGUUACUGGGAAACUACCAGGAUCUGUUUUGAAUGCCUGGAAACAGAUUGAACCAACAAAGGGUGACGGGGGUGAGUUGAGAAGGGUAAAUUGUGACAUUUAUUUUAAUGUAGAAAGCAACAUUUACUGUGCAUUAAAUGCUAUUUCAUGUUCAUAAAGUAAAGUUAAAGGUUUUCCCCUGACAUUAAGUCUAGUCGUGUCUGACUUUGGGGGUUGGUGCUCAUCUCCAUUUCUAAGCUGAAGAGCCAGUGUUAUCCGUAGACGCCUCCAAGGUCAUGUGGCCAGCAUGACUUUAUGGAGCGCCGUUACCUUCCCACUGGAACGGUACCUAUUGAUCUAUUCACAUUUGUAUGUUUUCGAACUGCUAGGUUGGCAGAAGCUGGGGCUAACAGUGGGAGCUCACCCUGAUCCCCAAAUUUGAACUGCCGACCUUUCGGUCAGCAAGCUCAGCAGUUCAGCGAUUUAACCCACUGCACCACUGGGUGCUCUAAAAGCUGUUGUUUUUUUUUUAAAAAAAAAGCAUGCUCAUAAAAGCUGUUUAAUAUAUAAAAACAUGCAGGUUUUGUGCAGAAUAAGUUCUGAACUGGAACUAGCCUUUACACAUUCUCAUAAUGAGAAGAAAAAUGUUUUAAAAGUUCUUAUUGCUUCUUUAAAUUAGUGUAUUGGUGAAGAAUUUACAAAUUAAUGAAGAAUUAACCUGCUUAGUAAGUGAUAACAUAAUAAGAUGGUUAAUUAAGUAUAGUGUAAAGAAAAUAGGGCCAUCCAAAAAAAGCUGUAAGCAGAAAAAUACCUUUUUAUGGAGUUCACUACCACAAGGGAUCAUGCGAGGUGCCAGUCAAAUUGGUUUUAAAUGAAAAGUAGAUAAAUUGAUGGGAAACAUCUCUAGCAGAACUUACUAAUCAUGACAGGUAGAUACCACUUCUAGAAUCAGAGAUAAUUUCACAUGCUAGUUAAUAGGAUGUGCUCUGGUACCAUUGUUACCUUGAAGAACAGGAUGCUGGGCAGAUAGGUGUUUGAUCUUUACAGUAUUCCUUUCCAUUCUUGUUUUAUGUCCAGAUUCAAAUUCAGGCCAUGAAAUCUGAUUCUUCUGGCAGCAUAUGAUUCAAAGGUUACAGAGUCAAAAGGAAUCAGAAUUGGACUGAAAAUGUAAUAAAAAUAGUAAUAUCUCAAAUAAGAUUUGCAGUGUCCCCAAUACAUCAGAUCAAAUAAAAAACAGACCAUUGCAAAAAAUACAGCACCAGCAGAAACUUUUUCAAGUGCUUUUGCAUCUGGUUUUCUUUCUUUUUUUUUUUUUUUCUUUUCAGGAGAACCUUUUUAUGCCCUUGAAAGAAACAAGAAAAAAUAUAUACAUAGCACAAGUCACUUUUGAUUUAGGAACACUUUCCUUCCAAGCCCACUUACAAUAUAAGUUAUAUUCCUGCUGACAUUAUUUAUGACUUACAUAAAGUCAAUUUUCUUCAUUUUUCAGAAAUAUGUGAGAUAGAUUCAUAGAAUUUGGAAGAGACAGGACCAUCCUGUCCAACCCCCUUCCACGCAGGAACAUACAAAUCAAAGCAUUCCUAACAGAUCCAGUUUUUGUUUAAAAACCUCCAGAGAAGGAGACUCUACCAUACUUCUUUUUUUUCUUUUUUUUAAUUUGAAAUAUUUUAUUUAUUUAUUUUUUAUUUUUUUAAUAUUUUUAUUGUUAUUAUUGAGAAAAAGUUACAAUUAUAUAAACAUAUUCUAUACAUUUCCCCCUCUUUUAUUUACAUUCACCCCUGUGCUCCCCUUCCCCAGAGCCAUCUCUUCUUCUGUAGUCCCACCAAAAGUUCAAUUCUUCAUUUCUUCAUUCCCAUCUUCUUUUUCCAAUAUUUUUUUUAGAAAUUUUCUCCAAAUACUUUCAAAAUCAUUUUUUUCCAUAAUCCCUUCUUUACUUUUAAAUUUGAUGUUAGCUUGUGCAUCUGGUUUUCAAGAUGCAAAUGGAACAGUUAUCAUCCUAAGUGUAUGCUAUUAAUCUGUGUCACAUACAUUUCUGGCAGGCCUCUGAAUAAUAUCUGAAAAAUAUGCACCACAGUAAAGAUUCAAAACAUUGAACACAAUAUGUAACUAAUUACUCAAAACCAACUGACAAAACUCUAUUUUGCAUUAUAAUAGCUACCACCAUCACUCACUCAAAUGCAAUUUACCUUACUCUCAAUUUCUCAGAAUCAAGAAGAACAACAGCAAGCCUUUUCAUUACCUUUCAGCAGCCAGUUCACUUAGCAGCAAACUUAAAGCUAGAGGCUAUCCAGCCAAGGUACUAAAACAGGCCUUUCAGAAGUCCUUACAAAUGGAUAGUUCUUUAUUAACAUACAAACCAAAACAACAGCAAAAUAGGAUAAUUUGUCCAUUAACACCACACAGACCCCACACAUCCGCAGUAUUAUUUACAAACAUUGGCACCUCAUACGGGAGAUCCCAGGUUGCAAAGAUACACCCAUUAUAGCACACAAAAGAUCACAAAACUUAAAGGAUAUCCUUAUCCAUUCUGAUUUUCAAAAAAACAAUACAGAAUCCAGAAGUAUCACGACAGGAAGUUUCAGGUGCGGUCACUGUGAUGUCUGUUGUCUCACGGUCGACAUUAAACUGUUUGUUCAUCCAUCAUCAAAUAUUAAGAUUAAAUUGAACGACUUGAUUACAUGUUCAACUGAAAAUGUAAUAUACGUAAUUCGAUGCCCUUGUGAUUUACUUUAUAUUGGGAUGACUAUCAGACCCUUGAGAGUUAGGAUACAGGAACAUCGGUCCAAAAUCAAAAGAGAAAGUUUAGAUUCCACUUUAUAUAUGCAUUUUCAUGAUAAAUCUCACCCCUUUAAUAGCUUUAGAUUUUUUGCUUCAGAGAAGUUACAUACUACUGACAAUGCUGACAUCAGAACUGGUCUCCUCAGAAGGGAAACUUUUUGGAUCCACAAACUGAGAACAACCACACCUCAUGGUUUGAAUGAUAAACUUGACUUCAGCUGUUUCCUGUAAUUAUAUAUUUAAACUGUCAGAUGACCACUAAUGGCAGCUCGCACUAUAGAAUCCACAAUCAGCACGUAGACCUCAAAUCAAGGAAGGGCUUCAUGAGAACCACCACUCCUCUUGAUGUUCCUCCAGCAGCAGCAAGGGUGUCCCUCUGGGCAGCUAAACCUGGCAAUUCUAACUGGAUGGCCCCCCUCGAGGGUCUUCCUCCAGGGGCAAACCAAGAAUGGGCAACUUGGAAGUCCCUGAACAGACUCAGAAGUGGAGUGGGCAGAUCUAAAGACAACUUGGCAAGGUGGCACUACCUGGAGGAAUCCUCCACCUUGUGUGACUGCGGAGCAGAACAAACAACUCCGCAUAUGUAUGCUUACCCACAAUGUCCUGCCUCAUGCACGGAGGAGGAGUUGUUUAAAGCUACGGACAAUGCGGUUGCUGUUGCCCGUUUCUGGUCUAAAACUAUUUAGUUGUUUGUGAUUUCCUCUAUUUUUUUUCUUCAUCAUUUUUAAAUGUAUUUGUUAUGCAAUGCUUUUGACACGAAAUAAAUAAAGCACGUAGACACUGCGAACAUGUGAGUUGACAAUUGUGACUAUUAAGCCUGGGAGUAAACACUAUGCUAAAUAUAGCAUUUGUUGAUAUGUCUAUUUUCACCUGGUCUAUAUAAAUCAUAUGUGAUAUCUUAUAAAGAGCACUAUAUUAGACCAUUUUCCUUUUAUCUUUUUAAGAAAACUUGAAGCUGAGCCAACAAUACAAAUAUUCAAAACAUUGCCACUUACCAGAUGAAGGGUUAUCUGAAACUGGAGUAAACCGGGGAACCAGUAGUAAAUGGCUUAUGUAAACAGCUUACUUCGGCUCACAGCCAGCCACUUUAAAAUAACAUCUAUCUGACCGGGCUUCCUGGCUGGGAACUGUAAAUGACUGCAACAUUUGUUACAAACUGAAGCUACAGCCAAUUGACUGCAUUUACAUCCUGAGAAGUCCUAUAGAACUACUCCAAGACUACAGAGACUUUGAUUUGUUUUGACUCCAAGCCAGGUUUGAGCCAAUUGAUUUGUACACUGAUAUAUUUAGUUUUACAGCAUAUUACAUGCCAUUUUGAAGAGACUGAAUGUACACAAACUGUGUCGCUAACAAACUUUAGUUGGAGUCUUGUUGAUAUUGUUGAUAUAUGUCUGAUAUAUGUUUUAUACUGAAAACUGCUCUGUGUAGCAAUUAAAUCUAGAUGAUUGCAGUCUAAAAAUAUACUCUGUAAGUUACGACUGUGUGCCACUACAGCUGACAGAAUUGGAUCAUCAGUUGUAUUAUUAUUUGUAUUAUUGUUAACAUUAUUAUGUAUAUGAUGCUCUAAUAUACAUAUUGUGUUCUAUGUUUUGAA